rnacentral:rRNA from 1 species
AAUCUGCCUGGUAGUGGGGGAUAACGUCCGGAAACGGACGCUAAUACCGCAUACGUCCUACGGGAGAAAGCAGGGGACCUUCGGGCCUUGCGCUAUCAGAUGAGCCUAGGUCGGAUUAUCUAGUUGGUGGGGUAAUGGCUCACCAAGGCGACAAUCCGUAACUGGUCUGAGAGGAUGAUCAGUCACACUGGAACUGAGACACGGUCCAGACUCCUACGGGAGGCAGCAGUGGGGAAUAUUGGACAAUGGGCGAAAGCCUGAUCCAGCCAUGCCGCGUGUGUGAAGAAGGUCUUCGGAUUGUAAAGCACUUUAAGUUGGGAGGAAGGGCGGUAAAUUAAUACUUUGCUGUUUUGACGUUACCGACAAAAUAAUCACCGGCUAACUCUGUGCCAGCAGCCGCGGUAAUACAGAGGGUGCAAGCGUUAAUCGGAAUUACUGG